AUUGAACGCUGGCGGCAGGCCUAACACAUGCAAGUCGAGCGACCGGCGGACGGGUGAGUAAUGUCUGGGAAGCUGCCUGAUGGAGGGGGGUAACUACUGGUAAAUGUAGCUAAUACAGCAUACCAUCAGAUGUGUCUACAUGGGAUUAGCUAGUAGGUGGGGUAACGGCUCACCUAGGCGACGAUCCCUAGCCGGAAGGAGAGGAUGACCAGCCAGACUGGGACUGUGACACGGGCCAGAGGGAUACGGGAAGCAGCAGUGGUGAAAAUGGAACAAGGGGCGCAGGACAGAGGCAGACGGACCGCGAGUGUGAAGAAGGAAUUCGGGUUGUAAAGCACAUUCAGCGGGGAGGCGUUACCAGCAGAAGAAGCACCGGCUAACUACGUGCCAGCAGCCGCGGUAAUUC
rnacentral:rRNA from 1 species